AAGUCGUAACAAGGUUUCCGUAGGUGAACCUUCCGCAGGAUCAUUAACCGUAUCCAACGUUAAACAACCCUGUGAACCUUCAUUCCUGCUCUCCUCGAGCCCUAACAAAAGCAAUCCUUGGACCAAUUUGAUUCAAGGACCUCUUUGUCGCCUCGGGGAUUCGAUACGGUCGUUGGCUUCUGCGGGGCAGUCAGUGGGUGAAAGUGCCACUGAUACAGAUAACCGAUUAAAACUCUAAGCCUAGCGGCCGCCUCGUGCUGUCGCUGUCGUGAAAGCUGAACAACUGUUAAUCUUGGUUCUC
rnacentral:misc_RNA from 1 species